CCGAUCCGAUAAGAUCUGCCAGGAGUUUUGGGCGAAAAUCGCAAACAGACCUAUCUCCUCUACCCUGCACGGUAAAUCUGCCCUCAAGCUCCAGAGCCGAGACUCCUACCACGCUCUGGAAUGGAGAGCCACAUGGGAAAAACCCUACCUAGCCGCCCACGUUCCCGAUGAGUAUCCUGGAGAGUUACCCAACAUCGUGCUUGAGAACCUGCUGAGAUCUGAAGGAAGAUCCGUGAUCCUGC